AGCUAUGCGGCAGCUACACAUGCAAGUCGAGCGGUAGCACAGAGAGCUUGCUCUCGGGUGACGAGCGGCGGACGGGUGAGUAAUGUCUGGGAAACUGCCUGAUGGAGGGGGAUAACUACUGGAAACGGUAGCUAAUACCGCAUAACGUCGCAAGACCAAAGUGGGGGACCUUCGGGCCUCAUGCCAUCAGAUGUGCCCAGAUGGGAUUAGCUAGUAGGUGGGGUAACGGCUCACCUAGGCGACGAUCCCUAGCUGGUCUGAGAGGAUGACCAGCCACACUGGAACUGAGACACGGUCCAGACUCCUACGGGAGGCAGCAGUGGGGAAUAUUGCACAAUGGGCGCAAGCCUGAUGCAGCCAUGCCGCGUGUGUGAAGAAGGCCUUCGGGUUGUAAAGCACUUUCAGCGGGGAGGAAGGCGUUGAGGUUAAUAACCUUGUCGAUUGACGUUACCCGCAGAAGAAGCACCGGCUAACUCCGUGCCAGCAGCCGCGGUAAUACGGAGGGUGCAAGCGUUAAUCGGAAUUACUGGGCGUAAAGCGCACGCAGGCGGUCUGUCAAGUCGGAUGUGAAAUCCCCGGGCUCAACCUGGGAACUGCAUUCGAAACUGGCAGGCUAGAGUCUUGUAGAGGGGGGUAGAAUUCCAGGUGUAGCGGUGAAAUGCGUAGAGAUCUGGAGGAAUACCGGUGGCGAAGGCGGCCCCCUGGACAAAGACUGACGCUCAGGUGCGAAAGCGUGGGGAGCAAACAGGAUUAGAUACCCUGGUAGUCCACGCCGUAAACGAUGUCGAUUUGGAGGUUGUGCCCUUGAGGCGUGGCUUCCGGAGCUAACGCGUUAAAUCGACCGCCUGGGGAGUACGGCCGCAAGGUUAAAACUCAAAUGAAUUGACGGGGGCCCGCACAAGCGGUGGAGCAUGUGGUUUAAUUCGAUGCAACGCGAAGAACCUUACCUGGUCUUGACAUCCACAGAACUUUCCAGAGAUGGAUUGGUGCCUUCGGGAACUGUGAGACAGGUGCUGCAUGGCUGUCGUCAGCUCGUGUUGUGAAAUGUUGGGUUAAGUCCCGCAACGAGCGCAACCCUUAUCCUUUGUUGCCAGCGGUCCGGCCGGGAACUCAAAGGAGACUGCCAGUGAUAAACUGGAGGAAGGUGGGGAUGACGUCAAGUCAUCAUGGCCCUUACGACCAGGGCUACACACGUGCUACAAUGGCAUAUACAAAGAGAAGCGACCUCGCGAGAGCAAGCGGACCUCAUAAAGUAUGUCGUAGUCCGGAUUGGAGUCUGCAACUCGACUCCAUGAAGUCGGAAUCGCUAGUAAUCGUAGAUCAGAAUGCUACGGUGAAUACGUUCCCGGGCCUUGUACACACCGCCCGUCACACCAUGGGAGUGGGUUGCAAAAGAAGUAGGUAGCUUAACCUUCGGGAGGGCGCUACCACUUUGAUACUGG
rnacentral:rRNA from 1 species